GCGGGUGUAGUUUACCGGUAAAAUGACUCCCUUCCAAGGAGUAGUAGGCGGUUCAAUUCCGCUCACCCGCU
rnacentral:tRNA from 1 species